CUACGGGUGGCACCAGUGGGGAAUAUUGCACGAUGGGCGAAAGCCUGAUGCAGCAACGCCGCGUGAGGGACGAAGGCCUUCGGGUUGUAAACCUCUUUUAGCAGGGAAGAAGCGAAAGUGACGGUACCUGCAGAAAAAGCACCGGCUAACUACGUGCCAGCAGCCGCGGUAAUACGUAGGGUGCAAGCGUUGUCCGGAAUUAUUGGGCGUAAAGAGCUCGUAGGCGGUUUGUCACGUCUGCUGUGAAAUUUCGAGGCUCAACCUCGAACUUGCAGUGGGUACGGGCAGGCUAGAGUGCGGUAGGGGAGAUGGGAAUUCCUGGUGUAGCGGUGGAAUGCGCAGAUAUCAGGAGGAACACCAAUGGCGAAGGCACAUCUCUGGGCCGUAACUGACGCUGAGGAGCGAAAGCGUGGGGAGCGAACAGGAUUAGAUACCCGCAUAGUC
rnacentral:rRNA from 1 species